CGUACUUCCCGUCAUCAACCCUUACGGCAAAUGUGGAUCCCUCACCAUCUCCCGCCACGUUCCUUGGCAUCUUCGUCGUGGACCUCAUCUCCUUCAACGCCCUCCUCAUCGCCGGCGCAUGCCUUGGCACUUGCACUCCCGUCCGCCUGGCGGCUCUUCAACACCAGGCCCUACCGGAACAUCAUCUCGUACAACGCCUUGGUCGUCCUCUUUUCCGCCACCGGGGAUUUCCCUCCGCUAGGGCCGAUCAGAUGCCGGACUAGAUCGGACGCUUGAGGUGGUCGAGUGCUGCAAGGCCAGUGUCGUCUUUGCCGCUGGGAACUGUUCGACAAAAUGCCCGACAAGAGCCUGGUCCCGUGGACUGUUAUGAUCACUGGGUUCUCCCGGUGCGGGAAGCUUAACGAAGCACUUGCACGGUUCACGUCGUCUCUGCCUUGGCUCACUUAGGGAGCGUGGAUCUGGAUCUAGAGGAAUGAGCACGGCCUCACCAAUGCAUUGUCAUACACCAUUAAUAGGUUCCCGUCCUGAACGUGGCACAACAUCUUCUUUGACAGAUGCGAAAGGAGGUGAGCGACUUAGAUCCUUGGACGUUUGUCAGCUUGCCGAGUGCCUGUAACCAUGCAGGGUUCGCCACGAGGUUCGUGAAUAUGGUUUUGGAGAGGAGGACAAGUACUGUUCUUGCAUUGCAGACAUACUUGGACAGGCAUGGAAGCUUAAAGAAACACACGAGAUAAUUCAGAGCAUGUCAGUGGAGCCUUAUCAAGGACCUGCUUUUGGCAUUGCUUGGAGCUUGGAGGACUAGUGCCAACAUCGAGAUGGCAGAGAGGAGCUUUUAGGCUGGAAGAGAAGUAUAUGGGAAACUGCACACUCAAUAUAGUAUAUGUGUGGAAAGAGAACAAUGGUAAGAAACUGUGAGAAUUAGAGUAAUAAUAAUAAUAACGUAUUGAAAUUUCAAAAACUUAUAGGCUUUAGCUGGAUUGACAUGUAGUGGAGAGCCUGUAGAUUUCAGAAUUAAGUGCUGACAUGCAUCGACAGUAGGAUGGAUCUGUUUAUUGCCUUCUUUUCUGAUUAGUCCUAGAACGUGGUAAUGAUUGGUCUAUAAGGCGCAGAGCAUUGAUACUUUGGACUGCCAGCGCUUAGCUGUGGUUUCACAAAUGUGAUCUUAUUGUGGUUCUUUUAAUACAAUAAACAGCAACUAGUUGUGUGGAUUUUCAGGUGAGGAACCAUUUGUGACAUGGGAUUAUAUCAGAUCUAACCAGUCACUUGAAAUGUUAUGUGGUAAAAUGAGUUGAAGAUGAUAUUAUAGUCUCAGUGGAAUCAUUUUAUUAAUUUGAAAACAAAGGCCUUCUUUUUUGUAUAUAUUUUUGUAUCUGAAAAAAAUAUUGUUAAUUAUCUCAAAUUAUGAUGAUUGCAUACUAAAGCAAAUAAAGGAGGGCCAUAAGAAUUAUCUAAAUAUUGCUUGGAAUUGGCAUACAAGAACUUCUAAGGUUGAUCAUGGUACUAUGAGGAGGGCCAUAAGAAUUAUCUAAAUAUUGCUUGGAAUUGGUAUACAAGAACGUCUAAAGUUGAUCAUGGUACUAUGUAAAGUAAUAGAGUGCCUAAAACCGAAGCUCUGUUUUGCAACAUGAUUGUGAAGUUGACUUUUUUCAUCAGAACCGAAUGAGGUGUUGGUUGCAGAGACUAGAGAAGUACCACUUGAUCUUUAAAUUAUUUAUCCUGCUUCUUGAUCCAAUUCCAACAAGCUGGCAGCCAUUUGUUUAUUUCUUUGAGGAUGUGUGACCUGGGGAUCUUGAGUUAGCCAAGUAAUUUCAUAUUGAGUGGUACAUGAGCAGUUGUCAGAGCAUCUCUCAAUGACCGCAAUUACACAGAGCCAUCAAAAUUGAUAUCAGACAAUCUAAGUGGGCAACUAAUGAAGAGCUGUUUUUGUGGGAGACACUAAGGCUGGUGCAAAAGUAUCAGAUAUUAGGGGAUGUUGCUGCACAAUGGACUUCAGUUGCUAUACAGUGGUAUCUGGGAUUGUUAGUUUUGCUUUAGUGCUACCUUUUCCAUGACAACAUUUUCUGCCUCCUAUGAACAUGACAUGAGCAAAGUCAAUCUGUAAGUGUUCUCCUUGAGCAUAAUUUAGAGUGUAGCCAACUGAUACGUAUACUUAAUUGAGAAUCUCAUCAUAUUGGUAGACCUUCCAUCUCUGGUUAGGCAAAAUCAUAAUCUUAUGUAAAUCAGUGUAUAUCAUGAUGUCUUCUAUAUUAAAAUUCAAAAUUCUAAUCACUCCAUCAAGGAAAAGAAAUGCAUAAUACAGUAAUAUUCUCAUGUGUGUGAUGCUACACCUUUUUUUAGCUUAGAUAAUCAACUGUCAUUUACUUUAAGGUCUGCCAAUAAAGAAAGAGUGUCACAGAACUAGCAAAAUAAUUCCUAUCACAGAUCUUUAAAAAGGUGUCUCCUUGUUAUUAAGCAUUUCAUGUUCUGAAUUGCUUUAUGUAAUCUUUGAAUUUCAUCUCCCUCAUGGCAUCUCUAGUGAUGGAGUAGACUGUAAUAUGUGGACUGAGAAAUGCCUAAAUCAGAGUGUUCAUUUUAGUUAUGAGGUGAUACAACAACUGACUGAGACUGGGUUUCAAUGUAAGCUUUGUGCUAAUAAGAAAUUUUGGUGAAUCUGGUGCAUCAUAAUCUUAGUCUAGACAUAGACUGAGAUGUGGAUUAUACUAUUUAUUUGUUAUUUAUUGGACUGUCAUUUCCUAUGCUCUCAAAAAAAAAUCUAAAUAUCAAAAUUGGUAAAACAAGUGACUUUUUGAUGUUUUUCAAAGAUUUAUAAUCUGGUUCAACUUGCUCUUGCAAAUACAGAUAGAAGCAGAUAUUAGAAGUGCCUGAUAUCCAUUCCUCAACAGUGAUGUUCCAUUUAGGCAUAUAUAUGUCUUGUAACCAAAGUCUGUUUAUUGUCAACCAAAACAAAAAAUUCUAAUGAUUAUACUAUGGCAAUGAUUAUCACUUGCUCUAGCAUAGGAAUAUGGCCAUGGUUGACAAAAUAGAGGGUUUAGAGAAAUCAUGAGCGAAGGUCCCAAUUUUUGAAUAAGGACAAAGAUAUCAAAUAUUAUCAGAGUUCCAGAGCUGACCGGUGGAGUUUAAGAUACAGGAUUGUUAUGUAUGGCAGGACACCGGUGGAGUUCAAUAAUAGGUUAAUCUUCUUGUCUGCUUUAGUUAGCUUAAAUUCUGGAAACAUCUGGAUCACAAUCUUCCAAAGUUCUGAUGGUAACUUGCUGGAUGUAGACCUUUUUCAGCCAUUAAAUGGCCAUCGCUGGCAACAACUUGCUUGUUGGUGGUUACCUGGAGUUUCCAAAGUCCUCUUGUGCAUAAAAUAACUGCCAUGGCAAUAUCGAAACAAGGAAAAUAUCAUGUCGGCUAAUGAGAUGGAAGUUUUUGUUGUCAAGGAAAAUGCUGGAUUCAUAUGGGUUAAAGUUACAGUCCCAAAGUAUUGGAAACAUUAUUCUAUAAGUUAUUCAACUCAACAGCAUCAGAAACAUGAGGUUAAGCCCUUAACCUGCAGCUAUAAGGUUACCUUCAUCAUCACAAAAGAAGAGGUGCAAAAUUAUCAAGAUGAGACAUUGCUCGUUUUUGAGCUAGUGGUUUCUGGAUAAAGGGCCAGAGACGCCAUAAUUUGGUCCAUGCAGAACCACAGUUCCACCUGUUAUGCAACUUCACUCCAAAGCAGCGGAAUCCAAGUUAGUGCCAGGUUCUUCAUCAGGAUAAUGCACAAAGCCAGUACUCCUGUACUAGCACAUGCACUUUGUUGUCUGGAACUACCAAACCACGGAUUCGAUAAGAUGUUAUUGUCAACGAAACAACUUGAAACCCCUAGUUUCUGCUACCUGUGUUCCAGCUAAUUCAUCUGCCUCAAUAAGUCAAUUCACUUGGCACAUAUUAUGGAACUACAGGCUAGUCUUCUUCUUUGCUUUCGUUAGCAUGGGUUCUGUAACCAGUCGGUCCCCCGUAUAGAAGAAACCAUCACAAUCUUCCAAAGUUCCAAUUGGUACCUUGCAGGGUGUAGCCAUUGCCAGCCAUCAAAUGGCCAUGGCUGGCAACAACUUGUUUGUUGGUGGUUGGCCUGGAACAUCCAGGAGUACACCUGUGCAUAUAACAACUGCCCUAGCAAGACUCUGAAGGGAUCAAGUCAGUGAUGAGAUGAAAGUUCAUUUUAUCAAGUUGCUGGAUUUAGCUGGGUAAAGUUUACAGUCUCAAAGUAUCGGACAUCAGAACCAUGAGGAUGACCAACUCUCUUGCACUACUAUUUUCUGAUGGCAAGGAAAAUAUUUUAUUUAUGAUAUGAAGGCUCGGAGGCAAAAGGAUGAACCGACUGUUUAUAUUACGUACAGACAAAUGUUAUACAAGACUCGAAGCAUUACUUACAGAGCAAAACAACACAAAGGUAGUAGCAGUAGUAGGAAGAAGAAGAAGAA